rnacentral:lncRNA from 10 species
UCUUUGUCCUGAGGCCAUGGGGAAAAUUUUACAUGGUGAGUUACAAAAUUAGACUUGAACCUUUUAAAAAUCACUUAGUCUUAAUAUGAAGAAUUACUGGAUGGCAAACACCAGAGUCAGGAAGAUUUGUAGCUAAUGUACUGGAAAGCCUACUAAGAAGUAGACAGACUUAAGAGAAAUUGGAUGUGAGAGAUGAAAGAAAAAGAGGAAUCUGGAGUAAUUCCCAGGUUUCCGACUUGGCAGGUGGAAGAUAGUGGUACACAGGAGGAAAAGCAGAUUGUGAUGAUGACAUGGGGUGGAGAUGAUUAUAGGAUACCCAAGAGGAAAUAUAAACAAGCACUAGAUAUAUGGCCCUGAAGCUCAGGAAAAUAAGUCUGAACUAAAACUGUAGGAAUCAAUAUAAGCAUGGUCAUGCCCAUAUUUGAACAAGAUAAGCCACCUCUUAUGAUUAAAUCCCCAGCAAGAAAGUUUUAAACUUACUUUAGUAAGUUAAAAUCCCGCAGUAAUUCUUUGCUCCCCACCUAUUUCUUAUCCUAAACUUGGAGAGUCUUUCUUAGCUGCCUGUGUUUCUUUAACAACUGCCAUCAAAACUGUCUUUAAUGAGUAUAAAUCCUUAGGAUAUCCAAGGCUGAAUUAAUACAAACCCAAGUUUCUCAUAUGCUGUACAUUUAACAAUGUCCAAAGUGUCAAUAUGACACAUAAAGUUAUCACCACACUGGCCCUCCUUUCACAAAGUUUAGAAUCUUCAUCGCUACAGAAUCAAGCAAAAUCACCAAGCAAAAAUACAGUCCAGACCUACAUUACUGUUGCCUGCUAAAGACCAUGGCAUAGAUUUUGAGUCAUCUUGGAGAAGGAGGGUAGAAAGAAAACAUGAAAAAAGGAGAAAAUGUGGAUUUCAUCUUGUUUAAGACUGGUUAUAAAUGCCAUAAUGAGGAAAAAGAAAGAAAGGAACCAGUUAGGCAGAUAGCUAGGAUAAGUCCUCUGUAGGAUUCCUUUUGUCUAAAAAAGGAACAGCCUGAAAGAUCAGACUGCAAGCAUAGAUAAGGAGGCAAGGUCCACCAUGAAGAUACCUUCUGUGUAAUUAGCAAGGGUCACUUAUACACAGUAGGCUUCAGUGAGCACAUUCCUUUCCUUUUUUGAACAUACUGAGAUAAGGGAGUUUGCACAGGGGAGGGAGGAGAGGGCUUGCUUGAAACAUGCCCAAGAGCAGUAACACAGAACCCGGCA